UAGGGAAUCUUCCACAAUGGACGCAAGUCUGAUGGAGCAACGCCGCGUGAGUGAAGAAGGUUUUCGGACCGUAAAGCUCUGUUGUUGGUGAAGAAGGAUAGAGGUAGUAACUGGCCUUUAUUUGACGGUAAUCAACCAGAAAGUCACGGCUAACUACGUGCCAGCAGCCGCGGUAAUACGUAGGUGGCAAGCGUUGUCCGGAUUUAUUGGGCGUAAAGCGAGCGCAGGCGGAAGAAUAAGUCUGAUGUGAAAGCCCUCGGCUUAACCGAGGAAUUGCAUCGGAAACUGUUUUCUUGAGUGCAGAAGAGGAGAGUAGAACUCCAUGUGUAGCGGUGGAAUGCGUAGAUAUAUGGAAGAAUACCAGUGGCGAAGGCGGCUCUCUGGUCUGCAACUGACGCUGAGGCUCGAAAGCAUGGGUAGCGAACAGGAUUAGAUACCCUGGUAGUCCAUGCCGUAAACGGUGAGUGCUAAGUGUUGGGAGGCUUCCGCCUCUCAGUGCUGCAGCUAACGCAUUAAGCACUCCGCCUGGGGGAGUACGACCGCAAGGUUGAA
rnacentral:rRNA from 1 species